ACACAAUCUUCAAGUGGGCACCAUCCCUCAAAUGUCCUCUAGUGAAGUCUGCUGUAAUUUCAAAGCUUGGACCAGUAAAAAAACGUUUCUGCAGUUGCUCUGGUGACGACAUCUGGAUUGAGGUGAAGAUGGAGCAAAAGGAGCUGCAGACCAAGGGUGGAAGCUGCGUUCAAGGGGGAGCCAGCUGCUGAGACAAAGAAUAAGAAAAAGUGUAGCAAUUCUUCUAGGGCGUGUCGCUAACCCUGUGAUACACAUCCCCUAUCCUUCUUUCUUAUGGUAGGAAAAAUUAAAAUGUUUUAGUGCAUUUAUUGAGUGGCUUCUCUCCAAAGAGCUAAGAUAAAGUCAUGAUUAUAUUUAUUUGAAAGAAACAAAACUCUCAUCC